UUGCUCUCUCGCCCACACCCACUCCCACGCCCAUCAGUCUUAAAGUUUUGCGCCCGCCUCCUCGACAGCCUUCAUUGUAUUCAAAACGGAGCGAAGAUGACAGACAUCGACGUCAAGACGUACAGCGACGACGCCUCGCUCGGGAAGGAGGCGCCGACGAUCGAGUCGGCACACCCCAUCAAGGGCGAAAAAAUCACAAUCACGGAGGACAAGAUCUACGUGCUGUACUUCUUCAAUACUUUCUACCGCGGCGCUGAUGUUUGCAACGACGAGUUCACGACGCUGUCGGAGGAGAUGGCGGGCAAGGCCGUUUUUGUCGCCAUCAGCACGGACGCCGACAUCGCCAAGACCGAGAAGUACCUGGGGAAGGAGAUCAUUGAUGAGAACACGAAGAAGCGCCUGCGCCUGGAUCCGUCCCACAUCUGUUACGACGAGGGCAAGGCGGUCAGCAAGAGCUACGCGGAGGUAUCGAAUCUCUCCGUGAUGUCGUGCCCCAUGGCCUUCGUUGUCAAGGAUGGCAAGGUCGCGUGGCGCCAGCAGUUCCUGCAGACUCACACCGUCAACCAGUCCAACUUCCGCGAGCAGCUCUCCCGCGUGCUGGCUGGUGAGGAGCUCGAGUCUAACGGCCCUCGCCCGAAGGUGGAGAUGGAAGAAGAAGAGGCAGAGGGCAUGGAUGGCGAUAUGUCGCUGUUCUAAGAAGGAAAAGUCGCACAUGUCCACCAGCGCUCCCUUCACCGCACCGUAAGAUGGGUUAGAGGUUGUGUAUGUGUGUAUGAGUGUGUGUGUGUAGCACGAGACAUAUCGGGCUGCCGGGGAGGGGGGCGGUUGAUGUCAUGGCAGAAGGAGCAUCUUCGCUCUAACUUCCAGGUGCUCAGCAUCAACACACGUCUGCGACUUCCUCUGCUCCUCCCCCCACACACACACACAUACGCAUGCACGCACACGCACGCGCACACACUGCCCUCCCCUCUGUCUGGGCAUGUGCGUGUGCGCCUUCCUGUGCCGAAGCAAUUAUGUUUAAGACGUGAAAAAGGGUAAGCAGCGAACCCGCAACCAACCCCCGAAAGCCAGGCGAAGAGGAUCUAACAAGAGGUGUGCUCAGCGGGAGAAGGAGGGGGGCCAAAGUGGUACAGCGUGGGGGUGCGUGUCUGUGGGAUGGUGAGGACUGUGUACGCGGCUCUCCAAGCGGCGAACCAAGCGCUCGCUCCCUCCUUCCCUCCCGCCCUCGUUUUCCUCAGCAAAAACAUGCGCGGACACCAAUGGAGCCCACGUGUUUGGUGCGGGGCGGGGGCGUUCCUCGAUCGCACGGCAUGCUCACACGCACGUGCUGGGCCCCCUCUCUCGAGCGCCGUCAUCCCACGAUGGGAUCGCUGGUCCUCCUCAUCCUUGCUCGCUUGUUUAACUCUGUCUUCGGCUGUUUUGUUUUUGUGUUUGUUUCCCGCAUGCGCCUGCGUCUGUGCGUGCGUUCUCACGGUUAUGUGGCGGGAUGGGCAACCCUCCCUGCACGCGCCACACUUUAAGACGAGGGCCGACAUGAGACGCUGACAACUCUGGAAGACGCCAAGGGUUCGCCG
rnacentral:misc_RNA from 1 species